AUUUGAGCUGACGCGUAUAUCCACUGUGCUCCAAUAAAUAAAGGGGGAAGGGAGGUGGGAAAAGCGAAGGGGGUCGUUCCGUGUAACCGAAUCCAAGAAUCGGUUAAUGGACUUCUUCUCCGAACGGCUUCGAGAAAAUCCGGACGGCUCCUCUCUCUUUUUCCCCCAAUCUAGCUAGGGUUUCGAAUUCUCUGAGCAUUUCUUGUGCGAUCUCUUUCGAAUCCUACCUUGGAUCACCGACCGCGAAGACGAGAGGCAGUGGGAGAUUAGGGUUAGGGUUCUCUGUUGCUUCUCAAAUGCUCUUCCAUUCGGGCGUCCGGGAGAAUGAACCAGGGUUCGGCGAAUCGGAGAUCGGCUUAUCUUACCGCGCUUACCCAAGAGAUCGAGAGAAAGCUUCAGCGGGCACUGAACUGUCCAUCGCAGAGAGUUGACCUGUUACAGCAGUUGCUUGCUGAUAUAGCUUUGGAGAUAGAUGAUCGAGCUCGAGACAUAAUUGUCAGUAGGAAUGAAGAUGGAAUUGCCAAAGCAGAAGAUAGAAUGGAUAACUGCCUGUGUUUUUAUGAAGUUCUUGCUGAUCACUAUGUUAGGGUUCCUGAAGAUGGGAAGCACAUUCUUGAUUUGAUUGUUCAACUUUGGAGCCAGUCUUUUGUGUCACAUAUAUUUGCCCUUCUAUUCCACAAGUGGUUGUUUGAAGUUCCUAUUGAAAAUACUGAAGCCUUGCUACGUUAUGGAUCUGCACUUGUUCAAGGUGCUAGAAAUGUUUUCUGGAUUGAUAUACAAACAAAUACAAGGCGAUUUUUAUCAUUGUUCCAUUAUCUUCUUGAAGAGGUUGCACUGGUCCCAGAACGGAGCAAUAAAAUUUCUUUGCAGGCCCGUCGAGACCUGUUUUUACUCAUAUCCAGAUUCUUAUUUUUUUACAACUUAGGUGACUUUCUUGAAAUUUUUCUACAGCAGUUUCCUACAUUUCCAAAUUCUUUUUUUGUUGGUGGUCCAGCAGACAUAUUUGUUAUUGAGCUUACAGAUCAGCUUCAGAAGCUGAAAGUGGAGCCAGUGCUUCUGCAUUACCUUUCUCACAUGAGUGCCCUACAAGGAUUAGAACUGAGGAUGAGUACAAGCACAAGAUUGAAGUCAUGCCUAUACAGCUUCACAUCUCCUGGGGGUCCUAUGUAUCCAACAAGAGCUGUGCGUCAUGCGGCCUGGGAUAUACUGGAUUUUCUUUUCCCUUUUCUUGUCAGGUGUGUCUUUGUUGCAUACAUGUUCUUUGAGAGAGCUAGUUGGAUGCCUAGUUCUUGUGGGGCCUAGCUGGAUGUCUAUAUCACAUCGUUGUACACGUUGCUGGCAAUGGCCAAAACAAGUAGUUAAUGUGGAUUCUGGAGUCUCAGCAAAUUUAGGGAUACAAGAUUCUUUGAGUGGACUAAUGGGAUCUAGGAAUGUGAUGUUUGUGCCCAAUUGUACCCUACUUCCUUUCUGCCCCUUUGAUUCUCCGCAGCCCUUCUGCAGCUUGACUGACUUCAAGUUACAAGAAGCCAGAACAGAACACUUUCAUGAAGAUAUAAGAAACAAAAAAACCAGGAGGCACCAAAAUAAACUCUGUUUUUGGACUGAAAUAAUGGCGCGUUGCGGAUUUUGCGUGGCUGUUGCGGCAAUCCAAAUGUCAUUUGCCAGAAAUCCUAUGAAUCAGGCAUGCAGGUGUGAUAUGCUCUGGGAGUAUAGAUGUAGUAGAUUAUAUUUCAGAUCACCGAUGUGAGAUUAUCAUUCAACUUCGUAGAAGUUGCGUCAAAUGUUGGAAGACGUAAUAUGUCAGCUAACUUGACCAUUAAUGCAUAUGUUGGACGGUACCCGCGGCAUGUUAUUAGCCUUUUCUUCCGACUGCUUUAUCCUUGGUGUUGGCCCUCAUCUUGCUGGAAUUUCAUUAUGACGUGUGUCAGAACUAUUAUGUAUUAUAUUUUGCGGUUGAUUCUUUCUAGUUGGGAAAGCAUGAGGAGAUCUAAGAAUGCAUAGCAGAAUAUAUAGAAGCGGAGAGUUGGAAUUAUGUUGGGAGGGUAUCUGUAUUACCCAAUGUUGUAUUGUGGAUUUUGCUUGAUGUGCUCACACGUUUGCCAAGCAUCAUAACGGCUGAUCGUUCCCUUGUUUGUUGAGGUACUUGUUAAAUUUUCUUGACAGGUCAAUGCUAAAUUGAUAAUGCAGCAGCUAUUUGCUUUACGAGACUUACCAUAU